UAAAUUACCUGGCAGGGGCAAUACCAUGAUCACAAAGGUAGUUUGCCCAGGGGAGGCUUACCGCUGCACUUCAGAUGUAGUGGCCCCUGCAGCUCCUCCAAAUGUGAUAAUGGGCUGUCUCUUGUAC
rnacentral:snRNA from 1 species